AUGGAUCGGGUCCGUCAGAGAGUGGGCACAGCAGGUGCUCAAGAAGCUGCGCACGCUGCCGGAGUUCAGAGGGAGGGGCCGGUCCUUCCGCACCAGAGCGGAGGUGUGCGGGUUCCUGCCCUUCCCCAGCUGGAGCACGGGGUCUGCAGGCCCUGCCGCUUGUCCGCCCUGGGAGACAGGACCUGGUGGAGGUGGCAACUCUAUGGCAGGAGGAGGAAGUGGAGCUUCCACCCAAGGGCCGUGCGGCCCCCACCAGGCUGGCACACCGGGAGGCUCCCGAGCCAAGACCCUGCCCGGUACAGCCACAGAGUAACGAGCUCAGCUCCCCAGGACGACCCAGAAGGGAGGCAUAGCCCCGCCCACCUUGGUUGGUGGCUUCCUCUGCAGCAUGUCCACCGCUCUUUCCAGGGACACCUGAGUGGCGUCAGACCCUUCUUCCCAGCAUCCCUCUGUCCAGCCCUCGCUCUCUGUGAGCUGCUCACAUGGGGUCCUCAGGUGGAGCCAAAGCACCUGCCCAGCUGUGCACCUGCCCCCAGGAAGGGAACUGGAACCUGCUCUGCUCGGGAAGCUAGUCCCUUUCCUUCCAGGAUCCAAGCAGAAAGGCGGGGAAGACAUGCUGGGUGAGCACAGUUCUGGCAAAAAGUAACUUCUGCCCUGAGUUCCUGAGGCACGAACAGUUGCUCACACCUGCUUCUGGUGACUGAGAUGAUUUUCCUUUGGGGAGCUCACGGUCCCCCAAGGAUUGAAUGACCAGGAGAUUGAGCCCCAGAGGAAGCCCGAGCUCAAACACUAUUCGGGAUUGAGGAUGCGUUAGGAAGACAUGGCGAGAGGAAGAGGGUGAAAGGUGUUCGGGGUACGUGCAAAUCAUGACGGUUGGAGGGGCGAAUCAGGGCUUUUGUGAACUCCAAGCCCACAGGCUCACGCCCGAGUGUGCACACCUAUGCACGAGAGGCACCCAGCACACCCAGCUGGAACCUCACUGUGUGUGAUGCCCUCUGGCUUUAUUUGGUCUCUUUCCUUUAUGUAAAUGCUGGUGCCUACCCUCUGAUUUGUUGUGAGCUGCGCGUGGGGCCUGGAAAAGUGGAGACCAAAGGAGCGCAGCAGCCCCCUCCUCAGGGCAUGAGUUCCCCUGAAACUGCGGUGGUGUCUGCCAGGACUGGCCUCAGGGUGACCUGAGAGAGACGCUGAGCUACCCAGUACUAACAAGGGCCUCUCCACCACAGGCAAGAGCUGCCCCUGGUAAACAAGAAAGGCAAUAAAAAGUUUAAUUUACGACUAAGGUCACCCCGCAGUCCCCUGAAGCCAGCUCUGUGCACCCACCUGCACUGAUUGCCCCUACGGCCUUAAACUCAAACAUUUCAUCCAUAUUUUUUUUUCUGGUACCGGGAAUCGAACUCACAACGUCGCGCUUGCCAGGCAGGCAAGCCCCCUUUAUCCACAUUUUUUGAGAUUCCCUAAAAUUGCACAUCCCCAACCUUAAAAUCUAUAUAUACUUAGUCCCCCCCUUUAGAUAUUUGCUAAUAUUCACUCCAGUGUCAGCCCGACUACGUAAAGGAAUAAAAUCUGAUCUUUCCCACAGCUUCAGUCUCUGGGUGGUUCCUCCUGCACUGUUAUUAGUGUCAUCUCCACCCCCACUGAACUCCAGAUAAGGCUGGGUUUCCCUAUAAAUACCUCCUGUAACAGGGCUGGACUUAAAAUGAGGCACAGUGACACAUAAUAGAACAAUUACAACAGGAUUGCACAAGAAAAGUUACUUAAAUUUUUGUGAACUCCAAGCCAAUCUGGCCGCCCCAGCACCUCGAGAUCGUCAGCUGGGUGUGCUGGGUGUGUCUUGUGCAUGGGUGUGCACACUCGGGCGUGAGCCUGUGGGCUUGGAGUUCACAAAAGUUCAUAAGAGUUACUUACGAACUGUCAUUUCUGGAAUUGACCAUCUAAUGUUUUCAGACCACAGUUGACUGUGGGUAACUGGAGCUGCAGGAAGCAAAAUGAGGGGCACGAAUGGCAUCUGGAGCCAGACCCUGAAGAUCUCGAGGUGCUGGGGCGGCCGGAUUGGCCCCUGGCCUGCCCUAGCCUCCCUAGCUCUGUGUGAAGGCCGAAGCAGUAAACGCCUGUCUCGCUCUCAGGCUCUUUUCCCUAGCGUCCGGUUUCUCAGGCUCGGCCUCUUCAGUCACCUGUAGGUGCUCCUCUUCCCAGCGGGUUCUUCCGCUCCUGUGCUUGCUGAGCUCUGCACUGAGUCCCCGUUCCUUCUGCUUGGCCUCCCAAGGGUCCCAGCCUUGGUCUGAGUGACAGCCCACUCCUACCGUGAGCACUCUAAUUGCUCUCGACAGCCCAAACCCUCUGCCGUGUUGCACCUGAACGGCCCCCCAAGCCCCUAGUUGAAGGCGUGGUCCCCGCCUGCAGGGCAGCGGGAGGGGGCGGGGCCUCCAGGAGGUGGGGCCGAGCGUGCGGAAGUGAGGUCACUGUGGGCGUGGCCUCUUCGUCUCCGUUCCCCAGCUGUUCCGGAGGAACGGUGUCCUCCGCCGCGCGGUCCCGCCGUGAUACGCUGCGGUGCCCCGGGUCUUGCUGACGAGUCUCAGGGUCCUGCCAGCGGGGAAAGCCGCCAGCGCAGCAGUGCUGGUGUCCGUGCUCCCUCCCGUCGCGGUGGCCCCAGGCUGUCUUCUCCGGGUGACGGCAGCAAAGCUGAGCGCUCAGCGCCGACCCGAAGCCGAUGAGCUGCGGACCCAGCUCCCAGCUCGGCCCUGUCCUGGCUGCGGAGUCUGGGAUUUCACCGCAUCCGUCCGUCGUCGUGCUCCUCGUGCAGUCACGGCGACCGUGACCGUGCGAGGAAGCCCGGCCCCGGGCGAGCGCGGUCGGGAUCGCGGGUGU
rnacentral:lncRNA from 1 species